rnacentral:rRNA from 1 species
CAUGUAGGCGGCUUUGCAAGCUUGAUGUGAAAUGCCGGGGCUUAACUCCGGCACUGCGUUGAGAACUGCAUGACUAGAGUAACUGAGGGGCAGCCGGAAUUCCAGGUGUAGGGGUGAAAUCUGUAGAUAUCUGGAAGAACACCAAUGGCGAAGGCAGGCUACCAGCAGAUUACUGACGCUGAGGUGCGAAGGUGCGGGGAGCAAACA